UACCUCCGAGAGUGCUGAUGGGGGGGACGCUGCGGUCAGGCAACAGGAUGGCCUUGGGGUGCACAUGGGCAAACCUCGCAUAAAGUUGGAACUUUAUACUCUCUGGUUGCUCAGAUCACGUUUCCCGGGAGAAUGCCCGUAACCUUUUGAGUGAGUCUGGUUUCGGCAGCCUCUUUGGGUGUGGUGUUGCCAUGCAGCAGGCUUUGCGAUGGUUGUGGAGGUGACAGGUGGACCAAGCCAAUAGCCCGGUGUAGGGAAAUGUUUAUGUCUGUGUCCUCAUUUGUUGAAAAUCUCCCUUUCCUUUCCUUGGUGGGGGUGGGGGUGAGCGCAGACUGAGUAGGCUUGGCGCUGGAGGUGGCGGGUAAAGCCACAGUAAGUUUGGUUGGGUGGGUGGAGAUUGUAGCUGUUUCCAUCCAUUUUCUGUAACCUGUUCAUGUGUGUGUGUGUGUGUUUAUAUGUCCAAAAAUCAGAGCUAGAAGCCAGCUGUCUUCCUUCAUAGAUCUGUGGGCAUCCGGACGCUGUGAUGAUUGGGAAAACUUCCUUCUCUUGUCUUCCCAGGUUUGAGGAGCAGGGAGCAUGAGGGCACAGAUGAUGACACCAACACACUUGGUGGCUCUGGUUAUUAUCUUUUUAAGAUGAACGCAUUUGUUGUUUUGGGGGCUUAGGGUUAGGAUACAGGAACAUUUUAUUUUGAUUUCCGUGUUUGCUGUAAAAUUUUGAGCUGCCCAGAAAUUUUUUCAUUGUCCCUUGCAGCAUGAAUUUCCAGAAUUUGUUUCAACUGAAUAUGACCUUAGCUAAUGUAUGGAUCCCGUCAACAGAUAGCUAUAGACCUUUUUUUUUACGCUUUUUUACCUGUCAAAAUUUUAUUGUACAUUAAUUAUGUGUAUUUUUUAUAACUGUAUUCUUUGACGUGAUGUGACAUGCAAUACUCUUUGCAGUAAUCUGGGAGAAAUUUACAUUAAAACUGAGUCCCACUCAUCCUAAUGCCUUCCUGUAUGUUUCCCUUUAUUCUUGUCCCACAACUAAAGUCCUAGAGUUCAAGCCCUCCUUUUUCUAAACCAAGAGAAUUAUUCAUAACAUAGUUUGAAAAAUAAUUAUUGUGUUGGUAUUGUUUAAUCUCUUGAAUAAUCUUGAUUUAAGGGAAACUUUGAAAUAAUCCUUUCAGCAGGCACUUGUGUUAGAGCUGAGGAAUCUGACCCUUUUAGAAAAUGGCUAUGUCAGGAUUUCCUCUGUUGAACAGCUCCAAGUCAAAUGAUGAUGUGCAUAUGUUAGUGCUCUUCCAACACAAGAGCCAUGGGAUCUCUUGCUAGCUAUGUUAGAUACUAAAGAAGGCUUCCCCACAAUCCAUAUGCAUCUGCUUUGACUGGUGGUUUCUAUCAACCUACAAAGACUGACUUAUUGGUGAGGGCAGCUGGACAACUCUGAGAGCAACUUAGAGAAAUCCACCCUGGGCACCCUCUGUAGAGGAACUCCUUCUCUGGAAAUAGCACCCCAGAUAAGUGCACAAAAGCAAGACACCCUCGUGGACCUACUUCCUCCCGCUUUCAACAGCCCGCUGCCUGAAGUGUGUAGAAUUUGACAGCAGUAUCGAGAGCUGAUGAGGAGGAGAAGAUGGAAAGGAGUCUAGCAACUUAAAAAUCUCAUAGCAUUCUCUGUGAGGUGACUUUCUGUUGGUGGCGCAAUUUAUUUAAGAUUUAAAGAAGAUACUAAGGCCUGUGAUAGUGUCAUCGUGUCAUAUCUGAGCUUAUUGAAAUGUUCCCUCCUUUCCUUAUUCUUGUCAUCACAGUUUGCUUUUUGUAUUCUUAAGUUGACGCGUUUGUUUCCUAUUAGUACUUGAAACACCAUAUGGCCACCAUGAGUUCUAACAGAAUGACUUCUAACGAGGAGGGGGAAGGCCUGUGUUCCCACCUUCCUAUGAAAUUUUGGCCUAUUGACAAAACUACCCCCUUAGUUCUAAAGACUAUCUAAGCUUUUAUUAAUUUUGGUAAGAGCAUUGCUAUAUCUUUUUGAUGUCACUUUUAUUGCUAAGAGGUGCUAGGCAUUUAUUAGCCUGUCACCUUAAGGUUUGUCUAAAUCAAAUCUACCCAAACAUAAUAUAAAUUAGAAACCUGUACUUGUAUUUUCUUAUUAAAAAAAACCCCACACAGUUAAAUUUUACUAUUGAACUGCGAGUCCUUUAUAAUGAGUACAUAAAGUGAAUAUUAAAUAAUCAGUGGAGUGUGUUAAAAUUAACAUUUCUGUGUUUAUUUUUGGUGACUUAUUUCAUGGUAUUGUAAUUAUGGCUGUCAGACCUCCCUGACAUGUUCUGAACGAAAAGUUUCCAGAGUCAGUUAUGCUUAUUUGCUGCUACUCUUGUUCUCCCUGUAGCUCAGUUAAGAAAAACAUGGUUAAGCCCUGGUUGGUGCGGCUCAUUUGGUUGAGUGUUGUCCAUGCACCGAGAGGUCCACAGUUCAAUCCCAGAUCAGGGCCCAUACCUGGGUUGUGGGCUCAAUCCCCGGGAGGAGGGUGUAGGACGUAGCCAAUCGAUGUUUCACUCAUCAAUGUUUCUCUCUCCCUCCCUCUAUCUUUAAAAUCAAUAAAAACAUUAAAAAACAAAAUAAAAUAAGAGUACCGACUCCAAGGCCAGGCUGUCUGGGUUUGAAGCCCAGCUCUGCCACUUAGCUGUGGGACAUUGGACACGUGACUUCCCUCUUAGCGUGUCAGUGUCCGGAGGACAUCAGUAGUACCUGUCUCAUGGAGUUACUAGAAGGAUUAAGUGAGUUAAUAUAUGUAGAGAGCUUAAAACAGUGCUUGGCACUUAGCACCACGUAAGGACUGUACUGGCCAGUACCGGAACAAGGCCCACGUUAAUGCUUUCACUUGCAUGCUGUCUCCCUCGGCAGCCGUAAGCAAGCGCUCUCUUUGGCCACAGGCACACUAGAGUAGGUUCUUCAGGUCACAGGGCACGGGUGGGUCAGGGUUGUCUUCAGAGCACACGCCUCUCUCCGCAUCCAUUUUCACCUCAGUCCCCAUUUUCUGUCUAGCCUCCAUCCCGCUGCCUGUAUCUCACACAAUGGAUUUGUGCUGUAAACGGAUCCGCUCUCCCAGGGCCAAAGACUGUGUUGCACAGAAAACACUACAAAAUAACACAUCAAUGUAGUUUAAAUGUGAUACUAAACUGUUCAUCAGCUUGGAGGCUUUUCAGGCGUCUGUGGUGGGAAACCUGAAUCAAGUCAAGGUGCUCUCUAACGGGAGCAAUGGACCGGGGUUUUCAGUACCCCCCCCCCCCCCAGGCCAGUGGCAUCAGCGCAGCUUACAGGAACUUUCCACGGUUUUACCAGUUCUAGGAUCCUUAGGGCAAGGGAACAGCAAUAGAAAGAGGGAUCCAGGGACACAUAGGGCUAGUUUAAAGCGUUGCAGCGUUCAUGACUCCUUAGUUCUCGGGGCCAGGACUUUCUCCGUGAGGAGUGGGUGAAGUCAUUUUCCAGCGAGUGGCUCCCCAGCCCUAAAGCAUUUGCUCCCCUAAGUGCCCAUAGCACCUGUGGGUUCCUGUGUCUGUACCUGUCUCUGUGUUAGGGUAGUGUCGUUACUAAAGAGGUCCAUUCUGGGCUUAACCACAGCUGCUCUUUGGCUGAAAGCCAGUUACAGGAUCAAAGCCUGCCUUAAAGGUGCAGACACACUGAGAAAUUCACCAGACGCGUAUUUUAUUUGCUUUCUUUUUCUGCCAGAGAGAAUGUUAAACCAGGAUCACUUCAGAAGAUUUGGAAGCCAAAUCUCUAUAGCUCUAUAGCACUUUAUCAAAUUUGUCCAAAUAUUUGCCAAGCACCAAUUUUAGCUUUAUUUGGCCUCGUUUUUUAAAAGUAAUUUUUUGGCAACUUCCACUGGUAUGGUUAUUGUUACAAAAUUACAUCGUUUCUGGGUUAUGUUUGAUGUCAAAACAAUGUAUGUCCUUACAAAAAUGAAUUUACAACUAGUAGCAAUUUACCUAAAGCUCUUUAAAACAGAGAAAAGAUUUUCAACAAAUUUUAAGAUAUUUAAGAUGUAUGUAUAUUUAUAUAUAAUAUAUAUAUACCACACACACACUUGUGUAAUUUAGUAUUCUUAAUCUACUAAUCUGCUCUAAUUCCCCUUGAAGUUAAAAGUAUUCUUCUCAAACUUAAAAAUGAAGCAUCUUUGCUAAGCCAUUAAGUAUGGACUCUAUGACUACAUUUCUCUAGGAAUAUGUGUGGGGGAGAGAAAGUAGCCAGUAGGGUUUAUAUGAAUAUGGACAGUAGUAGAUUAUAGAUAAGUGUCGCUUGAGGUUGUUAUGAGGAUUCCACAACAUAAAUUUAUGAAGUUUAGGAAAAUGCAUGGUGUUUCAAGCGUACAGUUACUAUAUUGUUCACUAGCAGAUAAUCUGCAGAAAAUGUUUGACUAUGGUGUUAAUAAGCCAUUAAGAUCAGAGCUGAACUCACUCCUGCUUGUGGAUUUAACCAUCAUCAGUCAGUUCCUUGAAUUUUUGUCAGAAAUAGAAGCUGAGUAUUCUGACAUGCCUUACUACACAACAAUUUGAUGGCUUAGCAAUGGUAAAGUUUUCUUGUAAUUUUUUGAGUUCAGGGCUGAUACUGAAAUUUUUCUGAAUGAGAAGAAUCAUUUUCAACUAUUAUUGAACAAUGAAUGGCUUUGGAAAUUAGCUUUUGCUGCAGACUUCAUAAUGUUUUUAGUGAAUUCACUCCAAAAUCACAAGGCAAAUAAAUCAUCACUUAUAUGCAACCUUUGUAUUGCAGUAAAGUCACUUGGACAACUAAUGUUUGACAUGUACGUUGUCAAGCUGCCUAAUACACUGAACUGUCAAAAGUUGCACCACAGGUGAGAUCUCCAUUUGUACACAAAUUUACCACAGACGUGAUUUCCAAACACAAAUUAUAGUUCUAGCAGGGAUCUUGCAUGUUGAUGUGAAUACAAAGGAAAUUUCCAUAUUUCAGAAUCCAUUUACCUGUGCACUUAAGCAGUUUACACCAAGCCUUCAAAAUGAAAUAUGUAAGAUGUUAUUACAGAAUUAGCCUUAACAGAUGAACAUUUAUAAUUUUGAUGAAAGGAACCUCAACCUGGCACGUAUGAUCCCUCCCAAGUCCAUUCUUAUUAGUAGACCUGUAUUACAAAAACAUUGUAGCCAAUUAUUCUAUUUUGAAUAUCAUCAAUAAAAAAUUUGUGGAAAUUUGUUUUCUCUCUUGUUAUAUAAGUACCUACUUAACAUCCUCAAUUUGAUGUCUUGACCCUCUGAGUCUAAAAUAUAAAAUACUUAACUCUCUGGUCCUUCACAGAAAAAGUUUGCUGACCCUGCCCUAGAGUUGACUUUGUUGGGUGGGGAGCAGGUCCUGGCAGCAGUGAGGCCAGGAAAGCAUGUUCCAGAAGCAGCGGGAGCUGGAUUCUCAGAUUCCAGCAUCAGCGGCUCGGCCCCUGUUGCCUCCACGUACACGGUGUUGCUGCCGGCAUCUCUGAUGCCUUCCUGCUGAUUCCGUGUGUUCACAUUCUCCCCGCACCCUCCCCAGAGAGGGACACACAUGAUGAAUCUGUUCAGUGAGACGGUUGGAAUGGGAUUUGAAGUUUAGAUGGGAGUCAAGAGGGUGGCUGAGCACUUGAUUUAAGUGCUAUAAUUUACUGACUGACUGUUAAUCCUUUCUGUGUCAUCACUGUUGGUUUAGGGGGGCAAGUGAUUACUUUUAGAUUUCAAGUAGCCUGAAUUUUGCUGUUUAUUUAGAGUUUCAGAAAAUAAAGAUACUCCAAUAAUGUUGAACAUAUUAUUUGGUUUUUUAAAAAACUGGAUUUGAUUUUAUAAGUUUUGAGAGAAAAGUAUUAAUAGUUUUGUAAAACAAUUUAGCAUGAUGAUACGUUAUGAUGCUAUCUAUAUAAAAAUACUGGGAGGAAAUUUACCAAAAGGCUAGCAUUAUUAGUGGUGGGAUGAAGGGUGAUUUUGCCCUUUAAGUGGGCAUGUUACUUCCAUAAUAAUCCUUUACAUGUACAAGUGAACCACUAUUGGGAUAGUUAAUGUGAUGUUUUGGGGAAGGAGUGAAAGCUGGUUUUGCUUUAAAGCCAGCCCCCAGUGGGGCACGCAUGAAGGCACUGCUCCUCAGCCAAGUGAAGCCAUGACUAGCCGCUGUGUCCUCCAGGCUCUGUGGAGCCCUCUGCUGGCCAGAGCCGUGGCUUUCCCUGGCAGAUCUACCUCCUCGGCCUGAGUGGUUUCCGACUCCUCAUGGCCACAGGAGGCCUCUCAAUUUGAAGCUAUAGUCAUUUCCCCUGAGUGCGCGGCUGUGUUCCCGGGAGAUGAACGUGAAGAAUUUAGUCCUAUGGCCCUGUGCCCUCCCCAGAUCUUGGAAGAUGGAGGGGUUGGGGGUGAGUCUUCCCUCCUUAGUUAGACCCCUGGACCUCGUGGGUUUCCUGAGAGCUGGUUGAACUGAACAGUGAGUCUCCGCCUAUUGAGUUUCUUCAGUCCUGUGCGUCCACACCUUUAAAAUGGAAAGAUGGGUCGGAGCUCAACAGGACCGUGUGCGUUUCCACCGAUCAUUUCUGUUUCACUUCAAUCCAUGAAAAUACAAGAGUGAUUUCCACGUGGUUUUCUCCUUGCCUUGUGGGCACUGCAUUGCCCAUUGGCACGAGGUGGAGAGGGUGGGGGAAGGGAGAUGUUGCUUCCUAGGUGGUGGAUGGUAAGUUCCAUUCGUGACUUAAGCAGAAGGUUAGACGUUUCCUUCAUCUCAUUAGCGUUGAUUGAAAGUGGGCUCCCUGCUGCCUAGACGGGCCCUUGGGG